UACGUAGGUGGCAAGCGUUGUCCGGAUUUACUGGGCGUAAAGCGUGUGUAGGCGGACCUUUAAGUAGAAAGUGAAAGGUUGGUGCUCAACACCAACAUUGCUCUCUAUACUGGAGGUCUUGAGUGUCGGAGAGGAAGAUGGAACUGCACGUGUAGCGGUGAAAUGCGUUGAGAUGUGCAGGAACACCAAUGGCGAAGGCAAUCUUCUGGACGAAAACUGACGCUGAGACGCGAAAGCGUGGGGAGCGAACAGG
rnacentral:rRNA from 1 species